GACGAACCGUGCGAACGUUGUUCGGAAUCACUGGGCUUAAAGGGUGCGUAGGCGGGCUGUCAAGUUGGUAGGUGAAAUCCCCCAGCUCAACUGGGGAAUUGCCGCCAAUACUGGUGGUCUAGAGGAAGGUAGGGGCACGUGGAACUUCCGGUGGAGCGGUGAAAUGCGUAGAGAUCGGAAGGAACGCCAGUGGCGAAAGCGACGUGCUGGACCUUUACUGACGCUGAGGCAAGAAAGCCAGGGGAGCGAACGGG
rnacentral:rRNA from 1 species